AAACAAGCUUGACCACUAUGCUGUCACAGAGUUUCCUCUGACCACUGAGUCUGCCAUGAAGAAGAUAGAAGACAACAACACACUUGUGUUCACUGUGGAUGUUAAAGCCACCAAGCACCAGAUCAAACAGGCUGUGAAGAAGCUCUAUGACACUGAUGUGGCCAAAGUCCAUGCCCUGAUUAGGCCUGAUGCAGGAAGAAGGCAUAAGCUCCACUGGCUCCUGAUUACAAUGUGGGAUAUUGCCAACAAAAUUGGGGUCAUCUAA
rnacentral:lncRNA from 1 species